GAAGAGGGGAAGAAGACGCAGCGCCAUGCUGGACUGUGAAGGUGAAACGUAAUCCUCACUAAAUGCGGAGUAAAUCGUAUGAAGAUGGGACUGAAAGGAGAGAAGAAAAGAAAGGACUGGAAACUGCGUUUGUGUUGAGAGGAGCUGAGGGACCAGAGCCAUGGCAACAACAGAUCUGCAUCUCCAGAUCCCCAUCCAGUUUGGCACAAAGGUCACUCAUGGUUAUGUAUUUCAUGGCAGUUAGGAAGUGAGUCCAGUCCGCAGCUGAGGAGGGAAAAUGUUCCUGUUAUGGAGUGGCUGCUGCGCCCAAAUCAAUCAGUCAGGGAGACGAACUGAUGACAGGUGAAGCUUUACGGCUUCAGUCCAAACCAUUCCAGAGGUUCAACAUCAGCCCAGUUUGCCUAAACUAAACUGGGCUUGUUUUCGUCUUCAUAUCUAAAUGUUGUUUAUCGUUACUUAGGGCAGUGGUUCCCAAAGUGUGGGGCGCGGCCCCUAUUGGGGGCGCAGUGCCAUUGCAGGGGGGGACGCAGGAAACGGUUUGGAUGAAUAAAACCAAACAGCUACACAAAAGUGUUUCACUGUAAAGAUGGUUUGCAGUUUGUUUUGUUGCAACCUGAAAUGUGACAUAAACCUCAGUGGAGUUGGAAAACAAAAUAUGUGUAAAGAUUUAUGUGUGGUUGAACGAGGUGUGGAUUUUUUUUUCAUUUUUUGGGGGGGAUUUUAUUGUAAUGCGUAGGGGGCCCAGAAAAUCUUUGGGAACCACUGACUUAGGCCUCGGCGAUAUGGUAUAUAUUUUUCAAAACAGAUGCAAUUUUAAUUGAUUCCCACUUUCUUUCUCAAAAAUGAGUUUUUCUGUCAGUCAUUCCCUCUUUGAGUUGUAAGACGGGGUAUUAGCGCCAGGCUGCAACAACUUUUGUGACAUAUUAGCAGAAUAAAGAAACAAUUUUACCAGAAGAAAGUUGAUUCAGCUUUUACUAUUCAGAUAUUGAUUGGUUGAAUAAUAAAAAUAAUCAAUAGAUCAGCCGUGCAAUGUACUGAUGUUAAGAGGCCUGAGCUUUGAUGUUAGACGUUCUCUAAGUUGUAGAUGCAUCCUUUGCUGCAAAUGAUCAAGUGUUCAAUAAAGACA